AUCAACGCUGGCGGCGUGCCUAACACAUGCAAGUCGAACGCGAAAGCCCUUUCGGGGGUAAGUAGAGUGGCGUCCGGGUGAGUAACACGUGGGUAAUCUACCUUCGGGUGGGGAAUAACUCAGGGAAACUUGAGCUAAUACCGCAUAAUGCAGCGGCACCUAAUGGUGAUUAGUUGUUAAAGCGGGGGAUCGCAAGACCUCGCGCCUGAAGAGGAGCCUGCGGCAGAUUAGCUAGUUGGUGAGGUAAUGGCUCACCAAGGCUUCGAUCUGUAGCUGGUCUGAGAGGACGGCCAGCCAUACUGGCACUGACACACGGGCCAGACUCCUACGGGAGGCAGCAGUGGGGAAUUUUGGGCAAUGGGCGAAAGCCUGACCCAGCAACGCCGCGUGAGGGAGGAAAUCCUUCGGGAUGUAAACCUCACAAGCAAGGGAAGAGAGCUACGGGCUGAAUAAUCCCGUAGUGCGACGGUACCUUGCGUAAGCCACGGCUAACUACGUGCCAGCAGCCGCGGUAAUACGUAGGUGGCAAGCGUUGUUCGGAAUUAUUGGGCGUAAAGGGCGCGUAGGCGGUUUGUUAAGUCGGCUGUGAAAGCCCGGGGCUCAACCCCGGAGGGUCAGCCGAUACUGGCAGACUAGAGUACGGAAGAGGUAGCUGGAAUUCCCGGUGUAGCGGUGAA
rnacentral:rRNA from 1 species